rnacentral:rRNA from 1 species
UACGGAGGGGGCUAGCGUUGUUCGGAAUUACUGGGCGUAAAGCGCGCGUAGGCGGACCUGCAAGUCGGGGGUGAAAGCCCGAGGCUCAACCUCGGAACUGCCUUCGAUACUGCGGGUCUCGAGCCGGGAGAGGUGAGUGGAAUUCCUAGUGUAGAGGUGAAAUGCGCAGAUAUCAGGAGGAACACCGAUGGCGAAGGCAGGUCUCUGGGCCACUACUGACGCUGGAGAAGCGAAAGCAUGGGGAGCGAACAGG